ensembl:lncRNA
CUCAUAAUGAAAUACAUUUUCCAGGAUAAUGCCUUAUCGCGGAAACCUGGAGUUUUGGAAAUAUAUUAAUUUAACAUUUGCUAAAUAUUAUUAUAGGGAGGGGUUGAAAAAUAGAAGGGCCUGGUGAGGUCAAAUAUAUAUAUAUAUAUAUAUAUAUAUAUAUAUAUAUAUAUANUACAAAAAAUAGUUUAAAAAUAUAACCAUUUUAUCUGUUAUCUCCCCUUGCGGGUGAGCACAUGCACACAUUGAUUUGAGCGACAUUCAUAGCCACUAAAAUCAGGGAAGUACAUGCCUCCAAACACUUUCCAAAUGGUUUCAGUUUCAACUUAACUUCAGCAUUCACCUCAAAUGAUAUGUUCACAAUGUGUUAAGAGUCACUUUGUGACAGAUGCAUAUCAGCACAAACCAUGCCUUCUCAAUCCUGACACUUUUAAAAGGUUGAACUAUUGGACACCCCUCAAAUACAUAUGUUUUUGGUCUUUCUAUACACUGUUGUCUUCAUGACCUCUUUCUUUCUAUUCAAUCAGUAUUUUCCUAUCCACGUAAGGGAGUGAACAAAAAACUGGUUCCAUUGGAAGCGGUGGGUGAAGAAUGUUUUUUUGGCUUGAGAUGAUAAGCAGGAUUAUAAGCCCACAUUGAGUGUUUGUGUCUCAGGUCUGCUUUAGAGAGAGAUCCAGACUGGGGCCUUUGGCACCAGAGCUGCCUCAUCAAACAUUCCUGGGACACAGCCUUGAGGCCAGAGCGAGGAGACCAGGAUGUCCAGCAGACUUUACUAGAAUCAUCUUCUCCACAGGGAUCACCAUCACAAGCUCCAGAUCCUUCUAAAUAUCGGAAGCAAGGAAACAAUGUGCUGCAGUUCUCAGGCAUCAUCUGCAAAAUCAAACGUUUCAUUCCCACGAAGUGAUUUAGGGAAAGGGAGGAACCUCGAGCAGAAGCCUGGCGAUGGAGAGAUUACAGCAGAUGGCUUCCACAGGAUUCUGUCCUCAAUGGAAACUGAUAUACACAUGCCAAUAAUCACGAACUCAGCAGGAUGGAGGAUGAACAAAAAAUGCGGUUUUCAUUCCUUUUCCAUUUCAGCCGACUGUGAAGUAAUAUACAUCAUAGUGAAAAAAUCAACAACAGAAAAACAAAACUUAUUAUUAAUAAACUUAAUGCAUAACAGAUAUGUAAGCCUAUUUAAAUAA